CCCCCUAACCCCUAUUCAUCAUCAUCUCUCUCUCAGAGACGACCCUUUCCAAACCCUAGCCGCCACCCCUCCUCUUCAUCGUAAACCCGAUGGCAACGAUGCCGGUAACCACCAAAAUAACACCCCAGAACCACCGUGCCUUCCCCUCUCCAAAUCCACACUUAUUUUUUCCUCGAAUCAACCUGGAACUCCUCAAAUCUUCAAUUGAAUAUUCGAUCCAAACCUCAAACUAUCGCAAACAAGCCCAAACUAACACCAUACCACCCCUGGACCUCCAUUGUCCCAAAUCACACCCAGUUUCAUACAAAUCUCAUUGUAACUGUUCGAAUCUCAAAUCGAACAAACAAACCCUAGAAGUACCAGUUGCUGGAACCUGUUCGUGUUAUGUGGAACUUGAUGUCUAAUCGACCUUAGUCGAUUGUUCUUAGUCAAGAACACUCGAUCAAUGUCUGUUUUGAACUCAAAGAGUUCAAGUCAAAGUUCAAUGGGAACAGUUGGAGUUUGGUCUAUAAAGUCUGAGGUAUUUCC
rnacentral:lncRNA from 1 species